rnacentral:rRNA from 1 species
UACGUAGGGGGCAAGCGUUGUCCGGAUUUAUUGGGCGUAAAGAGCGUGUAGGCGGCCUGGAAGGUCAGCUGUGAAAACUCGAGGCUCAACCUCGAGACGUCGGUUGAAACCACCUGGCUAGAGUCCGGAAGAGGAGAGUGGAAUUCCCGGUGUAGCGGUGAAAUGCGCAGAUAUCGGGAAGAACACCCGUGGCGAAGGCGGCUCUCUGGGACGGUACUGACGCUGAGACGCGAAAGCGUGGGGAGCAAACAGGG